GGUUUAACGUGUUAUGGUCACCAUCUGGAAUGAUAUGGAUAGGCAUUAUGACUUUAGUUAGGGCACACUCCCCCCACCAUUGCCCAAUUAAUUGGGACCUCAAUUGUUUAUCCCCACAUAACCAAUAGAUAUCGCCGAUUGUCUUUGUGUGGUUCAUUAGCAGUGAUACGGGUGGAUUAUGGUAAGUUGAGCAAUAUCCUGAUGGGAAUUUACCCAGAUACAAACCGGUGUUUUUAGAUAUUGUAUAACAUGUGUAAUUACCUGGGUAGAUGGUGACUCCAUCAGGUGGUUUUACAUGUCCGUG